rnacentral:rRNA from 1 species
AACGAACGUUAGCGGCGCGCCUAACACAUGCAAGUCGCACGAGAAAGGGAUUCGUCCCCAGUAAAGUGGCGCACGGGUGAGUAACACGUGGGUAACCAACCCUCGAGCGGGGGACAACGUUCCGAAAGGAGCGCUAAUACCGCGUAAGACCACGUCCACGCAAGUGGAUGGGGUAAAAGCAGGCCUCUUCAUGAAAGCUU